rnacentral:rRNA from 1 species
UGAGGAAUAUUGGUCAAUGGGCGCUAGCCUGAACCAGCCAAGUAGCGUGAAGGAUGACUGCCCUAUGGGUUGUAAACUUCUUUUAUAUGGGAAUAAAGUGCAGUAUGUAUACUGCUUUGUCAUGUACCUUAUGAAUAAGGAUCGGCUAACUCCGUGCC